rnacentral:rRNA from 1 species
AGUGAACGCUGGCGGUAGGCCUAACACAUGCAAGUCGAACGGCAGCACAGUAAUAGCUUGCUCUUACGGGUGGCGAGUGGCGGACGGGUGAGGAAUACAUCGUAAUCUACUUUUUCGUGUGGGAUAACGUAGGGAAACUUACUCUAAUACCGCAUACGACCUACGGGUGAAAGCAUGGGAUCUUCGGACCUGGCGGGGGUGAAUGAGCCGAUGGCGGAUUAGCUAGUUGGCGGGGUAGAGGCCAACCAAGGCGACGAUCGGGAGCUGGCCUGAGAGGGUGACCGGCGACAGUGGGACUGAGAUAAGGCCCAGACGCCUACGGGAGGCAGCAGUGGAGAAUAUAGCACAAUUGGAGGAAGCCUAAUGCAGCAACGCCGCGGGCCGGAUGACGGCCGUCGGGUUGUAAACCACAUACGCCUGUGACGAAGCGGGAGGGACGGUAAUGGGUAAAGAAGCACCGGCUAACUACGUG